ACCCCGUAAAACCCUAGAAAUGACAAUCCCUAUAAAUUCACACCUUUGGUUUAACCCUAUCUCAGCAGCAAAAGGCUUUAAGGCUUUUUAAGUCUUAGUUUCUCUCUACCUCUCUCUGUUUCUUUUCUCUCUCAGAUGUUUUGAGUGUUUGGUUUAGAAUAAAAAUGGUGAUGAAGAAUAAGAUCGCGGUGAUGACUCGGUAAAAUUCAAGCUCAACAGACCGGAAUGCAGGGCUUUCUCUUGCGAGAAAGUUUUGCGUGUCGAAUACCCGCUGAACUGAGCGAUCUCACUCUUUACCUUUUCUUUUUCUGUUUUUCUUGUCGUGGUCGCGUGUCUUUUUAAUUUUAUGUUUUUAUCGUUACAAAUUAUUCUCUGUUUGGUUCAAAUCAAUAAGAAUUUGGGGGAAAUAGAUUUUGCAAUGAGGAUGAAAAAGCUCCCUCUUCUGAAAUGAAAAGUUGAGGAAAUUUGCUGGCGGAAUCGAACCUAAAACUCUAAACGCCACCACUGAAUCUUGUGUUUAAGCUUCAUCUUCUGGACUGCAAAUUGAUCCAAGAGUGGUGGGGACUGCAAUCUAUUAUUGAGUUUUCUUCUUCUGAUCUACAUAGCAGACUACAGAAAUCAUCAAUUUCUGAUUUUUGACAUAAGAGUUGUUUUAGUGGUUAUACCUGUCAUGCUAUCUUCCACAGAAGUGGUUUGAGUCUGUCAUGGUCAAAAAUAAAAGAAGUGGUUUAAUAAAGUGCUGUUAGCAUUAUUAUUAUUAUUAUUUUUUGAGAGAUUGCUGUUAGCAGUAUAUGGCAAAAGAACAAAGCUUCAAAGCCUUAAUUUGUGGUGGUGAUGCUUUUAAUAAUUUAAUGUUAUAUCUCCACGUAAAAGUCCCAUCGACACCAGUCUAUAGAAAUAAUCAUAGUUGAGGCAAUAGUAUUAGUGUCUUCUUUUGAGAAAUGGGAUGUUGCUCAUGUAUUAGGGGAAACCAAUUUUGUGGCCCAUAAUUUAGACUUUGCUGCGUAACUUUGUGGGAAAUAUCCCCAUCUGCUUUGUACUUCGUCAUGCUUUUGUUCACCGAUAGUAAAUGAAGCGAGUUCCUUCUGCUAUGUAUCUCUCUGUUAGAAAUACAAAUGUUUAAUCAGAAAAAAUAAAGAAAGAAAUUUGAAGCUUGUGUUGCACUAUCAA